CUGGAUCUUUCAGGAUGCUUCAUGCUGAGAAGGGCGUUGUGGGCAGCUCCAUGCCAUGGGUGACCUCGUGGCCAGCCAGGAAUCACAGGAGCUGAGGCACAGCCAUCAUUAACCCCAAAGUCCAUGAACUUGUGAAGAGUCUGGAGGGGCUGCUCAGGCAGAGGUGACAAGUACCAUAAGUGGCAGAGACAUUAGUGGACAUAGAGGGGAAAGUCCACACAGACAGAAUCCCAGACAAAUAGGCACACACACCCUUAAAGCUGCCAGUUGACCCUGAACUGAGCAAUCACUCAGAAGACCAGACAUCAACUCAGACUUGUUCUCUCAGUCUGUGGCCUGGGAUCUACUUCU
rnacentral:lncRNA from 1 species